rnacentral:rRNA from 1 species
UGGGGAAUAUUGGACAAUGGGCGCAAGCCUGAUCCAGCCAUGCCGCGUGAGUGAAGAAGGCCUUCGGGUUGUAAAGCUCUUUCGGCGGGGACGAUGAUGACGGUACCCGCAUAAGAAGCCCCGGCAAACUUCGUGCCAGCAGCCGCGGUAAUACGAAGGGGGCUAGCGUUGUUCGGAAUUACUGGGCGUAAAGCGCACGUAGGCGGUGGUCUUUGUCAGAGGUGAAAGCCCGGGGCUCAACUCCGGAAUUGCCUUUGAAACGGGACCGCUUGAGUCCGAGAGAGGAUAGCGGAAUUCCUAGUGUAGAGGUGAAAUUCGUAGAUAUUAGGAAGAACACCAGUGGCGAAGGCGGCCACCUGGCUCGGUACUGACGCUCAGGUGCGAAAGCGUGGGGAGCAAACAGGAUUAGAUACCCCCGUAGUCC